GGGUGCGAUCAUACCAGCAUUAAUAUACUGGAUCCCAUAAGAACUCCAUAGUUAAGCGUGCUUAGGCUUGAGUAGUACUGGGAUGGGUGACCUCCCGGGAAGUCCUAGUGUUGCGCCCU
rnacentral:rRNA from 1 species